rnacentral:rRNA from 1 species
CGCGUAGGCGGGCUGUCAAGUCUGGGGUGAAAUCCCACGGCUCAACCGUGGAACUGCCUUAGAUACUGACGGCCUCGAGGGAGGUAGGGGCGAGCGGAACUGUGAGUGGAGCGGUGAAAUGCGUUGAUAUUCACAGGAACUCCGGUGGCGAAGGCGGCUCGCUGGACCUCUUCUGACGCUGAGGCGCGAAAGCUAGGGAGGCAAACG